AGGCUAGCAUAUUGUCUCCAAGAUGUUGAAGAGAUCCCGGUUUCAGAAGCUUCAGUUUAUCAUUCUUUGUGUGAUAAACUGCACUAGAAUCUGAAUAUGCAAAAUCAAGACCUGGAAGACCGGCAACUUCUUUAUAUACUUGGAAAUCUGUUGCAGAUUUGAUUACACCAGAAAGAAAGAGAUCCUGUGCGACAAUUUGGCCAGAUGGAUACUUUGCGACCUUAGCAUAGGUUUCAAUAGCCCAUGGCACUGAACCACUCUGAAAUAUGUUGGACUUCCCUCCAAUCCCCAUAGCUUCCAAGUCAAUUACAAAUCGAAUUGUAUUUCUCCACGGAUGCUGGGUUAUAAAGCUGUGAGCACCAUUAAGACCCUCCUCCUCUCCAGUGUUAAAUAAAAAAAUGACACCAUUCUUG
rnacentral:misc_RNA from 1 species